UCUGGAUCAGUUGAACCCUGACUCUGCUGCACCACAUCCUUGAACUGUUGGAUUCAGUGUAUGUGCGUGAACAAACCAGGUAAUUAUCUUUUCUGCUUGCGUCAGUUGCAGGUAUAAAUUGCGGUCUGAACUUUUGCUGAUGCUGAGGAUACGCCCCAAAGAUGCUAAACUGCAUUUCAUUGCAUUUUUCUGAACAGUGUAAUGACAAUAAAGUCGAAUCUAAUCGAAUCAAACCUAAUCUAAUAUGAUCCAAGCUGAGGACAAUACUCUCAGACAGUUUUUAACAGAAGGAGAAGGAGAAAAAGAGUCACAGUUUAUGUUCUGCAUUAACCUCCUGAACAUGGAAGUUAAUGAAAGUUUUAAUCCAAAGCUCCAGGAUGCUAAUUAGUCUUAAAAAUUUAUCAUGCAGACAGUUUAGAUUUACCUGUACUUUCUCUUUUUCCCUCUGUGUGCGUUACUGUGAUUGUGUUUCAGCUGCAGCGGUUUCCCUCUGCCUCCUCAUAUUGCCUGCAGACUCUCAGUAUCACAGAUCUGAUCUUGUUUGAUUUGAGGCUGAAAUGAAUUUUCACACCUUCCUCUGUGUUUGUGUGUUACUGUUUAUUAUCAGAGACACACAGGAGACACAUGCAUUUAGCCUGAUGAAUAAACUUUGAUCAGACGGAGGAAUAACAGGUCUAAAUAACUGCAGACGGAUUGAUUUAAUGUAGAUUCAGGG